AUGGCACUAUCUUACACUCUACCUUUGAAGUUCUUUUCUUGACUAUGGAUUGUUCUUCUGUUUGAUUUCACCCCAAAGCGCAUUUGCACGGUAAAUGAUAGCAGGGUACUUGCGGAUGUUGAUCUGAUAUGCAUUAUGGAAGAACGUGUUGGAGGUUCUUAGUGCAAAGAGAGUUGGAAGAUCUAGCAAAACGUUGGCUCAUGGGGGGGUCUUUUUGUGAAGCUUCAAGCCAUCAACUAUGUCUGCUUUCCCAACUAUUCUGACUUCUAAUCAAAAAAUCUUGAAGCAUAUUAUUACUUGAUUUCUUCUUCUGCGGCAGCUUACAGUUUCAACUUUCAACUUGCAUUCAGUGGCAUCUUCUCUUUGGUACAGCUUGAAGUCUUUAGUUGCGUGCACAUAUCUUCUGAUUAGUAACCCUGAAGUUUAUAUUGGUCUCUGUUCUGUUACAACUUUGUUUGGAUGGAAUCUAUUCUCAUCUGUUUUUGGUGUGGCCCGACAUAGGAGAUGCGACAAUUCAGUUAGAAGUCUUUACUUUGUUACCAUGUUUGUUUCUAGAAGUUGGGUUUCAUGCGAAUAUCUUCAGUUUUAUCAAUGCACACAGCUGUGUUUUAUUCCUCUAGCAGAUAGGAAGUCAGAUUGCAUGUACAUGAGCUCUGAAGGCAGUAAAAGAUCCCUACAGUUAUGUACAUGAAUUAUUUUGAGAUGAUGUCUGGAUUUGCUGGUUUUGUUGUUGUUCA